AUUGAACGCUGGCGGCAUGCCUUACACAUGCAAGUCGAACGGCAGCACGGGAGCAAUCCUGGUGGCGAGUGGCGAACGGGUGAGUAAAGUAUCGGAACGUGCCCAGUCGUGGGGGAUACCGUAGCGAAAGUUACGCUAAUACCGCAUACGAUCUAUGGAUGAAAGCGGGGGCUCGCAAGACCUCGCGCGAUUGGAGCGGCCGAUAUCAGAUUAGGUAGUUGGUGGGGUAACGGCCCACCAAGCCGACGAUCUGUAGCUGGUCUGAGAGGACGACCAGCCACACUGGGACUGUGACACGGCCCAGAGUCCUACGGGAGGCAGCAGUGGGGAAUUUUGGACAAUGGGCGAAAGACUGAUCCAGCCAUGCCGCGUGCAGGAUGAAGGCCUUCGGGUUGUAAACUGCUUUUGUACGGAACGAAAAGGACUGCCCUAAUACGGUGGUCCCAUGACGGUACCGUAAGAAUAAGCACCGGCUAACUACGUGCCAGCAGCCGCGGUAA
rnacentral:rRNA from 1 species